rnacentral:rRNA from 1 species
AGUGAACGCUGGCGGUAGGCCUAACACAUGCAAGUCGAACGGCAGCACAGUAAGAGCUUGCUCUUACGGGUGGCGAGUGGCGGACGGGUGAGGAAUACAUCGGAAUCUACUUUUUCGUGGGGGAUAGCGUAGGGAAACUUACGCUAAUACCGCAUACGACCUACGGGUGAAAGCAGGGGAUCUUCGGACCUUGCGCGAUUGAAAGAGCCGAUGUCGGAUUAGCUAGUUGGCGGGGUAAAGGCCCACCAAGGCGACGAUCCGUAGCUGGUCUGAGAGGAUGAUCAGCCACACUGGAACUGAGACACGGUCCAGACUCCUACGGGAGGCAGCAGUGGGGAAUAUUGGACAAUGGGCGCAAGCCUGAUCCAGCCAUACCGCGUGGGUGAAGAAGGCCUUCGGGUUGUAAAGCCCUUUUGUUGGGAAAGAAAAGCAGCAGGUUAAUACCCCGCUGUUCUGACGGUACCCAAAGAAUAAGCACCGGCUAACUUCGUG